rnacentral:rRNA from 1 species
CCAAUAGCGUAUAUUAAAGUUGUUGCAGUUAAAAAGCUCGUAGUUGAAUUUCGGGAUCAAUAUAUCGGUCGUGCCUUGGUACGUACUGGUAUCAUUGGUUUCUCCUUUCUGACGAACCAUGAUGUCAUUAAUUUGGUGUUAUGGGAAGUUAGGACUGUUACUUUGAAAAAAUUAGAGUGUUUAAAGCAGGCUUUAGCUUGAAUACAUUAGCAUGGAAUAAUGAAAUAGGACGUUUGAUUCUAUUUUGUUGGUUUCUAGGAUCGACGUAAUGAUUAAUAGGGAUAGUUGGGGGCAUUAGUAUUCAAUUGUCAGAGGUGAGAUUCUUGGAUUUAUUGAAGACUAACUACUGCGAAAGCAUUUGCCAAGGAUGUUUUCAUUAAUCAAGAACGAAAGUUAGGGGAUCGAAGACGAUCAGAUACCGUCGUAGUCUUAACCAUAAACUAUGCCGACUAGGGAUCGGAUGAUGUUAAUUUUUUAAUGACUCAUUCGGCGCCUUACG